GAUGAAGAACGUAGUGAAAUGCGAUACUUGGUGUGAAUUGCAGAAUCCCGUGAACCAUCGAGUCUUUGAACGCAAGUUGCGCCCGAAGCCAUUAGGCCGAGGGCACGCCUGCCUGGGCGUCACACGUCGUUGCCCCCCCAUCUACUCCUUCGGGAUUGCGAGGGGCGGAUGAUGGCCUCCCGUGCGCCUCGUCGCGCGGUUGGCAUAAAUGCCAAGUCCUCGGCGACGCACGCCACGACGAUCGGUGGUUGCGAAACCUCGGUUGCCCGUCGUGUGCGGUCGUCGCGCAUCGAGGGCUCGAAAAAAUUGCCGGGCUCCGGCUCGGCUUUCAACGCGACCCCAGGUCAGGCGGGGUUACCCGCUGUAUUUAAGCAUAUCAAUAAGCGGAGGA
rnacentral:misc_RNA from 1 species